rnacentral:rRNA from 1 species
GACGGAGGAUGCAAGUGUUAUCCGGAAUCACUGGGCGUAAAGCGCACGUAGGCGGCUUUUUAAGUCAGGGGUGAAAUCCUGGAGCUCAACUCCAGAACUGCCUUUGAUACUGAGAAGCUUGAGUCCGGGAGAGGUGAGUGGAACUGCGAGUGUAGAGGUGAAAUUCGUAGAUAUUCGCAAGAACACCAGUGGCGAAGGCGGCUCACUGGCCCGGUACUGACGCUGAGGUGCGAAAGCGUGGGGAGCAAACAGG